ensembl:lncRNA
GUUGUUGUUUUUAGCCCUAUCUCUCUUCCGCUGUUGUUAGAUACCAGCAUGCAGGGUCUGCGUGUUUUUUUUCUUCCAUAGAAUGAGAAAAAGAGUUUCCUCCCGUCUGUUCGUCACACCCAUGAGACCCCCUACUGCGGCCCUCACUGCCUCCACGACAGGAGGGUCACAGUGACACAAGAGUGUUGGGCCAGAUGCCGAGUGAUCCCCUCUGAUGCAUCUCCGCUCCCAAAAGCCAGAUCCAUUGCCACGAUAGGACAAUCAGCCUCGAACUCUUUGAAAUACCACACACCAGACCUGAAUUACCAGCAUCGCUGGCUAUCCCGCUUGCAGAUUUUUUUUUUCUUCUUCUUCUUCUUCUUCUUUUUUUAAUUCUAUCAACAACACCAAGUGUAAAUCUUUGGAGCAAAUGUUGGGAGAAAAAAGGAUCGGAGAAGAACUGGGGAAGAUGAAGAGGAGGGGAAACAGAAAGGAGGAGGGGGGAAAAACACAAGUGGAGAACAAAACAACCCAGCUGGUCCACCUUUGCCACUGCAAGCCAGUGAAGUCACCCUGUGUUUUUGUGAGGGUGCGUGUGAACAAAACUGUCUUUGAAGUUGGGUUACAGCACUGUACUGUGGCAUCACUACGGCCACUACUAAGCCCCUGCAAAAAUGUGCAGGGUGAUUAUAGAAAAUGCUAUAGAAUCCAGUCAUAAAUCAACUAAAUUUUCAUGCAAAUGGCCUCCUUCAUGGGGCAUUUAUGUAGUGUGUGUAUAGCAGCAUCAAAAGCGCAUAAAAGGCGCAUUUUGGCACUUAAAAGAGAAAUCAUUGAGACAUCACAGCCCAAAUGCACACAGACCCUUCAAGGUCAAACACAGCGAAAUAAUAAAACACUGACACACAGAGAGACACACACACAAACACACAAUUGGGAGGUACAACAAGACUAGAGAGUCGUUAAGGCUUUUAUCUUCUGGUUGAAGGAGAAAGAUCCACCUGACAUCCCAGAGGGUACUGAUCAAUCAUGGCCUGACUGGUUCAAACUGUUUGUGCUGGAUUCCACAUCUAUCACCAUCCGAUGGAGCUCUGUGUCCAACUACAGAACUGAGAAAAAAAAAAAAGAGAGCACUUUCAAUUAGGGCAUGGCGAAAUAAAUUCACACUACUUGAUUUAUAGUGCACGACUAAUUACACAAGCCUUUUUUGCAUAAUGCAGUCGGAGCUAAGCCUCGUACUUAAGGAGGUUAUUGUCUUAUGUUAAAUGGCAGGCAGCGAAAUAGGUGGAGGCUACAAGUUUUCAUGUCCUUUGGAAAAGCUCCUUACAAUGACACGAAGGAUAACAACGGACUAGGAUGCUUUGAUGUUUCAAAAGAAAACGAGAGCACUUUUCACAUCUCAUAAGUCUAAGUUUGUAGCCUGGUGAAAAACAUCAAACAUGCCCACUAAUCGUGAAUUCAAGAGUUAAAUUUUAUUCCUUAGACACUUAAAACCUAGAAUACUUUUAUGGAUGUUGAUGGAGUUGGCAUGCUACGCAUGAGUCUAGAUUAUGCCAAUUCCUUAAAUGCUGCCACUAGCCUAUACCUCAAGGGAAGAUAUGAGGGCUUAACAAUAGGUACAAGCUAUAGUCAGAGCACUGGGGCACGCUGCACCUCAUGAAUAUCAUUAACCGUGAGCUCUAUUUGUAUUACUUUGGGAUUACAUCUAACCCUGUAAUGCAG